CUUCGCUGCUGGAAGUGCUGUUUGCUGAUGCUGGCAGCAAAUAACCGGCUAGCUGAAUGUUGGGGGCGGGUGUCUGAAGACCUUUAAGAUGGAAAGUGAA